rfam:Triticum aestivum genome assembly, contig: Triticum_aestivum_CS42_TGACv1_scaffold_080456_1DS
CAACUACUCCCCCUGUCCCAUAUUUCUUGUCUUAGAUUUGUCUAGAUACGAAUGUAUCUAAUACUAAAAUGUGACUUGAUACAUCCGUAUCUAGACAAAUCUACGACAAGAAUUUUGGGAUGGAGGGAGUACUUU